CAGUAGCCACGGGAAUACGGAGGGUGCAAGCGUUACUCGGAAUCACUGGGCGUAAAGGACGCGUAGGCGGAUUAUCAAGUCUCUUGUGAAAUCUAACGGCUUAACCGUUAAACUGCUUGGGAAACUGAUAAUCUAGAGUAAGGGAGAGGCAGAUGGAAUUCUUGGUGUAGGGGUAAAAUCCGUAGAGAUCAAGAAGAGUACCCAUUGCGAAAGCGAUCUGCUGGAACUUAACUGACGCUAAUGCGUGAAAGCGUGGGGAGCAAACAGGAUUAGAGACCCCGGUAGUCCCUGUCUCUUAUAA
rnacentral:rRNA from 1 species